GACGAACGCUGGCGGCGUGCUUAACACAUGCAAGUCGAACGGAAAGGCCCUGCUUUUGUGGGGUGCUCGAGUGGCGAACGGGUGAGUAACACGUGAGUAACCUGCCCUUGACUUUGGGAUAACUUCGGGAAACUGGGGCUAAUACCGGAUAGGAGCUCCUGCUGCAUGGUGGGGGUUGGAAAGUUUCGGUGGUUGGGGAUGGACUCGCGGCUUAUCAGCUUGUUGGUGGGGUAGUGGCUUACCAAGGCUUUGACGGGUAGCCGGCCUGAGAGGGUGACCGGCCACAUUGGGACUGAGGUACGGCCCAGACUCCUACGGGAGGCAGCAGUGGGGAAUAUUGCACAAUGGGCGGAAGCCUGAUGCAGCAGCGCCGCGUGCGGAAUGACGGCCUUCGGGUUGUAAACCGCUUUCGCCUGUGACGAAGCGUGAGUGACGGUAAUGGGUAAAGAAGCACCGGCUAACUACGUG
rnacentral:rRNA from 1 species